rnacentral:misc_RNA from 1 species
AACACUGUUAACCUGCGGUACCUGCGGAGGGAUCAUUACUGUGAUUUACUACUACACUGCGUGAGCGGAACGAAAACAACAACACCUAAAAUGUGGAAUAUAGCAUAUAGUCGACAAGAGAAAUCUACGAAAAAACAAACAAAACUUUUAACAAUGGAUCU